UGGCGGACGGGUGAGUAACGCGUAGGUAUCUAUCCUUGGGUGGGGGGACAACUGUGGGAAACUACAGCUAAUACCGCAUGAUAACUGAGGUUUAAAGGCGCAAGUCGCCUGAGGAGGAGCCUGCGUACGAUUAGCUAGUUGGCGGGGUAAAGGCCCACCAAGGCGACGAUCGUUAGCUGGUCUGAGAGGAUGAUCAGCCACAUUGGGACUGAGACACGGCCCAA
rnacentral:rRNA from 1 species